CCCGAGCCCGCUCCCCAGCCCCAGCGCUUUGCAUAAACAAAGACAGGAGGAGGGACAACGCGGGCACCGCCCCCGACCCGCCAGUCCCGGACUGUGCGCCGGGCGCAUCCCCAAACCCCCCGCAGGGCCCGCCGGCCCGGGGCCCCUUACCUUGGCCUGGCAUUUCCGAUGACAGGAGAAGCUGCAAGCUGCAAGGGGCGAGACAGAAAGAAAGUUUUAGCCUCGAGCUUCAAGUAAAGCACUUAACCUCUGUGGUGUGGGUGAGCCUCGUCCAAUCAGUGGAAGGCCUUAAGAGAAAACACUGACCUCCUCAAGCAAGAGAGACUUCUGAGUAUGCUGCUUUGGAGCUUGAAAUGCAAGUCUUCCGCGGGUCUCCACCCUGCCAGCCUACCUGCAGAUAUUGCACUGACGAAGCCUUCAUAAUCAAUGAGCCAGUUCCUUAAAAUCAACCUCAGUCCGUCCAUCUGUCUGUCUCUAGCCACACACCUUGCUCACUCUGUGUCUCUGAAGCAGGAAUAAGAAGAAACUCUAGAACAUCC